UACGUAGGGGGCAAGCGUUAUCCGGAUUUACUGGGUGUAAAGGGAGCGUAGACGGUUAAGUAAGUCUGGAGUGAAAGGCCGGGGCCCAACCCCGGGACUGCUCUGGAAACUAUUGAACUUGAGUGUUGGAGAGGCAGGCGGAAUUCCGUGUGUAGCGGUGAAAUGCGUAGAUAUACGGAGGAACACCAGUGGCGAAGGCAGCCUGCUGGACUGCAACUGACGUUGAGGCUCGAAGGCGUGGGGAGCAAACAGG
rnacentral:rRNA from 1 species